rnacentral:rRNA from 1 species
AGCCUGAACGCUGGCGGCGUGGUUAAGACAUGCAAGUCGAACGGACGUAGCAAUACGUCAGUGGCGGACGGGUGAGUAAUGUAUCGCUAAUGUGCCCCGGAAUCCGGGAUAGCUAGCCGAAAGGCUAGGUAAUACCGGAUGAUAUACCUUGAAGGCAUCUUCGAGGUCUCAAAGGAGUAAUCCGGUCUGGGAGCAGGCGAUAUCGUAUCAGCUAGUUGGUGAGGUAACGGCUCACCAAGGCGACGACGCGUAGCCGGGCUGAGAGGUUGGCCGGCCACAUUGGGACUGAGACACUGCCCAGACUCCGUACGGGGGGCUGCAGUAACGAAUCUUCCACAAUGCACGAAAGUGUGAUGGAGCGACGCCGCGUGUAGGAUGAAGUCCGUUCGGGAUGUAAACUACUGUCGAAGGGAAAGAAGUUCUGACUCUACCCCAGAAGGAAGAGAACGGCUAACUCUGUGCCAGCAGCCGC